GGGUCAGAAGCACAGAGGUUGUGCGAUCGGCUGUUAACCGAUUGGUCGAAGGUUCGAAUCCUUCCUGUCCUG
rnacentral:tRNA from 1 species